rnacentral:tRNA from 3 species
AACAGAAAAUAGUUUAAUUA